rnacentral:rRNA from 1 species
UUGAACGCUGGCGGCAUGCCUUACACAUGCAAGUCGAACGGUAGAGGGGCAACCCUUGAGAGUGGCGAACGGGUGAGUAAUAUAUCGGAACGUGCCCAGUCGUGGGGGAUAACGCAGCGAAAGCUGCGCUAAUACCGCAUACGAUCUAUGGAUGAAAGCGGGGGAUCGCAAAGACCUCGCGCGAUUGGAGCGGCCGAUAUCAGAUUAGGUAGUUGGUGGGGUAAAAGCCCA